rnacentral:rRNA from 1 species
GAUAAACGCUGGCGGCGUGCCUAAUACAUGCAAGUCGAGCGAACGGACGAGAAGCUUGCUUCUCUGAUGUUAGCGGCGGACGGGUGAGUAACACGUGGAUAACCUACCUAUAAGACUGGGAUAACUUCGGGAAACCGGAGCUAAUACCGGAUAAUAUUUUGAACCGCAUGGUUCAAAAGUGAAAGACGGUCUUGCUGUCACUUAUAGAUGGAUCCGCGCUGCAUUAGCUAGUUGGUAAGGUAACGGCUUACCAAGGCAACGAUGCAUAGCCGACCUGAGAGGGUGAUCGGCCACACUGGAACUGAGACACGGUCCAGACUCCUACGGGAGGCAGCAGUAGGGAAUCUUCCGCAAUGGGCGAAAGCCUGACGGAGCAACGCCGCGUGAGUGAUGAAGGUCUUCGGAUCGUAAAACUCUGUUAUUAGGGAAGAACAUAUGUGUAAGUAACUGUGCACAUCUUGACGGUACCUAAUCAGAAAGCCACGGCUAACUACGUGCCAGCAGCCGCGGUAAUACGUACGUGGCAAGCGUUAUCCGGAAUUAUUGGGCGUAAAGCGCGCGUACGCGGUUUUUUAAGUCUGAUGUGAAAGCCCACGGCUCAACCGUGGAGGGUCAUUGGAAACUGGAAAACUUGAGUGCAGAAGAGGAAAGUGGAAUUCCAUGUGUAGCGGUGAAAUGCGCAGAGAUAUGGAGGAACACCAGUGGCGAAGGCGACUUUCUGGUCUGUAACUGACGCUGAUGUGCGAAAGCGUGGGGAUCAAACAGGAUUAGAUACCCUGGUAGUCCACGCCGUAAACGAUGAGUGCUAAGUGUUAGGGGGUUUCCGCCCCUUAGUGCUGCAGCUAACGCAUUAAGCACUCCGCCUGGGGAGUACGACCGCAAGGUUGAAACUCAAAGGAAUUGACGGGGACCCGCACAAGCGGUGGAGCAUGUGGUUUAAUUCGAAGCAACGCGAAGAACCUUACCAAAUCUUGACAUCCUUUGACAACUCUAGAGAUAGAGCCUUCCCCUUCGGGGGACAAAGUGACAGGUGGUGCAUGGUUGUCGUCAGCUCGUGUCGUGAGAUGUUGGGUUAAGUCCCGCAACGAGCGCAACCCUUAAGCUUAGUUGCCAUCAUUAAGUUGGGCACUCUAAGUUGACUGCCGGUGACAAACCGGAGGAAGGUGGGGAUGACGUCAAAUCAUCAUGCCCCUUAUGAUUUGGGCUACACACGUGCUACAAUGGACAAUACAAAGGGCAGCGAAACCGCGAGGUCAAGCAAAUCCCAUAAAGUUGUUCUCAGUUCGGAUUGUAGUCUGCAACCCGACUACAUGAAGCUGGAAUCGCUAGUAAUCGUAGAUCAGCAUGCUACGGUGAAUACGUUCCCGGGUCU